ACACUGCGGAGGAGUCCCAUACUAGGACGAAACGGCCGUCCAGUGC
rfam:Schistosoma curassoni strain Dakar, Senegal genome assembly, scaffold: SCTD_contig0009082